CAUCUAGUUCCGGUGAUACAAGGUUCCGGGGCGGUGCCAUUUAGCCGGGAGUUCUCGGGCUGGAGGCUCACAAUGUGGAUUGGAAAGAGGACUGAUUGGUUGUCUUUACGUGCUAUCUGCUCCAGUAAAAAACAAUAAUAAUAAUAAAAAUCAGUGAAUAUACAUUCUCGGCCGACUCCUCUGCCAGCUCGCCCUUGUCCUGGUCCGCCGCCCCACUCUGACCCCCAACCCGACCCGGUCCACUUUCAUUUCCUCCCCACGGCUGUUUCCGUAUCUGCUGCCGUAUUUCAUGUUGGUUUAUGGUGUUGGACUAACGUCCGGAACGUGCCUACUAAACGCACUAGAAGGGAGGAAGCGAGGACGGUCGCGUGAGGGGUCGAAAUCUCGCUCUGAUUAACCCCCGAGUGGCUUCCAAUUGCAAACCGAAUAGAAUCUCGCUUUCUUCCCUUGGGUCGCAGGUGUGAAGGGUUCCAGCCCCCAACCCUCCCUCCCACCUAGCUCCGCCCCGCCCGCUCAAGGCGCCCGACCGCGCGGUGGAGACCGAGAAAACAGCAGCUUUGCGCUCCGCGGGCUGCUCCUGCCUUCCUCCCGGGGCCAGCUUCUCCCUGAGCUUGGCUGAUGUGAGUGCAUUGAAGAGCUUUGAACUACUGGACAUGGAACAGAUGAGAAGGAGAGAUCUUUCCAUCACCUCCCUCCUAGCCUGUCAUCCCAAGGGCCUCCAACAAAUCACCGUGUGUUCUGGAAAUGCAAAACCACUGGAAUAAUCACCAUAUCAAGAUGAAAUGAGAAAGACCAGAUGCUCACUGGAGGGGAGUGAUAUGCUGACCAAAGACAUCCCCAAACAUGAAGCUGUCCUGCUGGGAUUGUCCUGCCAGUGGUCGUUUUCCUUCCUGCCAUCUCAAAUACUCCCAACCCCAAAGCAAAGAGCCCCUCUGCACAAAGGUUGAGAUUGCAUCCCAGCUGUGGCCAUAACAGGGACAUCGAUCCUCAUCUGUUCCCCACCACUGAAUUCUCCACUGCAGGUUAGAAACAAGCAAUGCAGCCUCCGCUACCAGCGACACCGGCGGGACCUGGCUUUUAGAAGUAAGAUUGAAUGGCUAUUAGAAGAGGUGACGGCUAUAACCUAACACUGUACAGAGAGACCAAGGUAAUGAAGUAACACAGGUUUGUAGAAUGUGGAGACCUGGAAGGCUCUUUAGACAUCAUUCUGGCCAACCCCUUUGCUUUACAGGUGAAGAAAACCAGGACCAAAGAGGUUAAUUGACUCAUCCAAGGUCAUAGUGUGAAUUAUUGUCCUUUGGUUGUUCAGGUCACCCUUAAACAAACAUUUUUUUCCCAAGGUUUCUAAGAGUUCAGAGUUCGUAGUCCAUCAGCUUUAAUAGUUUAAAUGCUUCCCUUUAGAACUCAUUCAUCGGCGGUGAAUCAUGGGAACCUAUCAUGAACAUGCCCCACAUGUUAUAGGUGAUUAAAAAAGGGGAAAGAGGUUUCUGCACCUAAUGUCUUACAAUUGAAUUGGAGACUUAAGAAAUAUAAAUAGCAAGAGGAAAAAUGAAAUUCUUAUGUAUGUAAAAAACAAGAGAAAUACUUGAUGUAUGCGUGUAAAUGCUGUGCAUAAAGAGAACUCUAUGGCGUAGGUGUCCUAUGCUUUAUCUUAAAGAAACUAAAGCCCAUGUGUCUGUAUUAAUAUUUAGAGAGCCAUUAAUUUACUAUUGGGAUUAUAAAGUAAAAGUGAUCAACAACAAUUUAUAUUUUGUGUUCCAUAAUGUCCACGUAUAAAGUUUCCUGGGCACUUCAGCAGCCACCAACAUCACUGAAAAUAUGUUUAUGGCCCACGAAAAAAUUCCAUUUGAACCUUGGCGCUUUGAAACAUAGCUUCCUCUCUUCAUCCUUAUUGCCUCAUUUCUAGUAUAAAGUGGUCAGAUUAGAUGAUCUUUAAGGUUCUUACACAUUUCCACUUUCCUUGAUUAGUGAGUGACUAAAAACAAAAGGCAGAAUAGUCCAGAUGUUCUAGUAGGUUUACAUUUGCAUCUGAGAAAAGUCUUGAAGUACCUCAAUAGGUUUAAAUUAUUUUUUGAGUGGUGAAAUAUCACUGAAAAUUUUCUAUGAAAUUCUCCCAGCAAAAUAACUGGUUUUAGAGCUCUGCCCUGUUGAUCUUGUAGUUCCAGGACAGAUUUGGGAUAAUGAUCGUGAUUUCCACUGGGUAGAACAAUAUUUUAGGAUCAGAACAAUCAAACUCAAAUUAUACAGGUACAACAGUUUAACAAACGUGACACAUAUUUUAUAAUUCAUAUGAAACUGAUGAGUCCCUUUGGUCUACCCAUCAAAACAAUUGUCAGAGGUAAAUAGGCACUCAUUUUCCAUGUGAAUUUUUCCAUGUUGCUGCUGGUAAACCGUUUCUAAGGAUAUAAUAGCAAUAGCUGCCCCUGAAAGCCUCGAGCCCCAAAUGAUCAUUUAAAUGGUUCUUGUGAAUGGCACAACUCUUGUUUAUGGGUGCCAGGUCCCAGUGUUUCAGAUACAUAGAAACAGCCUUUGCCAAUGCAGCUUUAGCCAGUAAGAAUAGCUAAUAUUGAUACUUACUGAGUGCUAACUAUGACUAUACUGAAAGUUUUGCAUAUAUUAUCUUAUUUAAUACUCCCAGUAAUCUGAAGACGCAGGUACUGUUAUUAUCCCCAUUACACAGAUAAAGAAACUGAAUAUUAGAAGGUUAAAUAGUUUGCCUAAAAUACAUCUAGAAAACAGUAAAGCUGAGAUCUGAAGCCAGAUGUACUGACCUCACGGACAAUACACUAAUCACUAUACAGUAUUACCACGUGGCUUGCAAUAGUCUAGAAGACAAAUGAUUUUUAAGUUGCUCUGAUAAAUACCCUUUAUGUAGAAAAUGAUGGGUGUGCAGACUGAGUAGUGUGUAUGAUGGUGGUGGAGGUUAGAGGUGCGGGGACCAUUAAUUUUUAUUGACUUUAGUUAAUUGCAGUUAAUUCGAAUCUUUCAACGAUUUUGGCCAACUGCACGUUGUGCCUGUCUGGGUCUGCAGUAUCACUGACAGCAGAGAUGUGGGUACCAGGCUAAGCAGGCAUCCUUCCUCCAGAACCUUCACUGGCAGACAUGAGCAUGCAUCAUCCAUCCCGGGUCUGAACAGCAAGUUCAGAAGCCAUCUCAUUAUUUAAAUUUCUGAUCUGCAGUGUUGUAUGAAAUACCGUGAAGAACCCCGUGCUUUAGGAUCUGUGGAAUAGCCACACGUUUUCCAGCCUAAAUCUAAAGCAAUGGUGCUGAUAAUUUAUAUGAACGCAUCUCCCCUUUCUCCAUGUGGUUAAAGAUAAUGAAAUAGAGAACCGCGCUCUCUGAGAAUGUGACAGGCCAAUUUACGAUUCUAAUUCUCCGUUUGGUCUUCUAAAAUAUACUAUUUUAGCAGCUUUCUGCCUUUAACAGGUAUUUCUUGAAAGCAAUUCCUACUUGCAUGACUGUUCCGUAAAUGUUUGGCUUGAAAGAAAAGGAAAUGUGUCCUUCAAACAAGUGUGUUUCUUUCAGGGCUACUUCUGUACGUGAAUUUCUCCGUGGUGACUACCCAGUGUUUUCUGUUAUCAUCUUCUCAGCGUUCAAUUCAUUACCCCUGUUCAUUAUUCAAUUUGUUGGGCUUUGAGCACCUGAAUAAUUGAAAGCUAUGCAAGUAUUAUAAAUUAUAGUGUCCACGUUCAUAAUCCCCAUUUUAGAGUUUAUAGCUUCACUGUAAAAAUUCACUGUGUUGGAACCUUACAUACAAGGUCUUAUACUGAAAACAAAUUAAUUUAUAAAUACAUUUUUUUCUUCCCUAAACUCAAUAUUUAACAAAUCUUACAUUUUUCCAGUUACGAUUUUUAGGGCUUUGACUGCCACAGCAAGCCCAAUGAAAAAGAAUGUUUUACAUGUUCACUCAUUCAUUUUUGUAACAAAUAUUUACGGAGUGACUAUACCUUUGACAGUGUGAGGCUGGGGCUAGGUCAGCCUAUUCUCUUUGAGAAGAAUGAGAGAGAAAGCAGGCUUUGCAGCCCUUUAAGUUAUGGCCUCCACCUCCUGAUGGCACUCAAAAAUCAAAACAAACCAAAAAAACCUAAACCAAAUCCUCAGCAGCCCUUCCCCUGUAGUCUCUGCCCCUGGGUCCUUCCUGGUCCACCUAGGGCACUGAGGGCUGGAAGAUUCUGUAGCCUCCCUGAGGCAGGUAGCCCAGUUCUUUGCUCUGCAAAUAAAUAUGGGAAUAAAGUUUUUCAAUGAGAGUAAGAAGGAAAGAAGAGAAGAUGGGUGAAGUUUAAGAGACUGAUGACCCAGCUAGUAAGUGCCUGAGCUGGAAGGCAGGCUGCAGACUCAAGUCUUGUGGAUGCAAAUCUAGUGUGGUGGGUUUUGUCUGUUUGUUUUUUGCGGUACGCGGGCCUCUCACUGUUGUGGCCUCUCCCGCCGCGGAGCGCAGGCCCCGGACGCGCAGGCU